UACGAAGGGGGCUAGCGUUGCUCGGAAUUACUGGGCGUAAAGCGCACGUAGGCGGCUCUUUAAGUCGGGGGUGAAAUCCUGGAGCUCAACUCCAGAACUGCCUUCGAUACUGAAGAGCUUGAGUCCGGGAGAGGUGAGUGGAACUGCGAGUGUAGAGGUGAAAUUCGUAGAUAUUCGCAAGAACACCAGUGGCGAAGGCGGCUCACUGGCCCGGUACUGACGCUGAGGAGCGAAGCGUGGGGAGCGAACAGG
rnacentral:rRNA from 1 species